rnacentral:rRNA from 1 species
GAUGAACGCUAGCGGCAGGCUUAACACAUGCAAGUCGAGGGGUAUAGUAGCAAUACUAGAGACCGGCGCACGGGUGCGUAACGCGUAUGCAAUCUACCUUUCACAGAGGGAUAGCCCAGAGAAAUUUGGAUUAAUACCUCAUAGUAUAAUACCUUGGCAUCAAGGAAUUAUUAAAGUCACAACGGUGAAAGAUGAGCAUGCGUCCCAUUAGCUAGUUGGUAUGGUAACGGCAUACCAAGGCGACGAUGGGUAGGGGUCCUGAGAGGGAGAUCCCCCACACUGGUACUGAGACACGGACCAGACUCCUACGGGAGGCAGCAGUGAGGAAUAUUGGACAAUGGGCGCAAGCCUGAUCCAGCCAUGCCGCGUGCAGGAUGACGGUCCUAUGGAUUGUAAACUGCUUUUGCACAGGAAGAAACAACAUUACGUGUAAUGUCUUGACGGUACUGUGAGAAUAAGGAUCGGCUAACUCCGUGCCAGCAGCCGCGGUAAUACGGAGGAUCCAAGCGUUAUCCGGAAUCAUUGGGUUUAAAGGGUCCGUAGGCGGUCUUAUAAGUCAGUGGUGAAAUCUCCCCGCUCAACGGGGAAACGGCCAUUGAUACUGUAAGACUUGAAUUAUUAGGAAGUAACUAGAAUAUGUAGUGUAGCGGUGAAAUGCUUAGAGAUUACAUGGAAUACCAAUUGCGAAGGCAGGUUACUACUAAUGGAUUGACGCUGAUGGACGAAAGCGUGGGUAGCGAACAGGAUUAGAUACCCUGGUAGUCCACGCCGUAAACGAUGGAUACUAGCUGUUGGGUGCAAACUCAGUGGCUAAGCGAAAGUGAUAAGUAUCCCACCUGGGGAGUACGUUCGCAAGAAUG